rnacentral:rRNA from 1 species
GACGAACCGUGCAAACGUUAUUCGGAAUCACUGGGCUUAAAGGGCGCGUAGGCGGGCAACCAAGUCCGAGGUGAAAUCCUCCAGCUUAACUGGAGAAGUGCCCCGGAUACUGGUGGCCUCGAGGAGGGUAGGGGCAUCUGGAACUAGCGGUGGAGCGGUGAAAUGCUUAGAUAUGACCCAGAACACCAAUUGCGAAGGCAGCUCGCUAAGCCAUAACUGACGCUGAGGCACGAAAGCGUGGGGAGCAAACGGG